rnacentral:rRNA from 1 species
GUCUUGUAGAGGGGGGUAGAAUUCCAGGUGUAGCGGUGAAAUGCGUAGAGAUCUGGAGGAAUACCGGUGGCGAAGGCGGCCCCCUGGACAAAGACUGACGCUCAGGUGCGAAAGCGUGGGGAGCAAACAGGAUUAGAUACCCUGGUAGUCCACGCCGUAAACGAUGUCGAUUUGGAGGUUGUGCCCUUGAGGCGUGGCUUCCGGAGCUAACGCGUUAAAUCGACCGCCUGGGGAGUACGGCCGCAAGGUUAAAACUCAAAUGAAUUGACGGGGGCCCGCACAAGCGGUGGAGCAUGUGGUUUAAUUCGAUGCAACGCGAAGAACCUUACCUGGUCUUGACAUCCACAGAACUUUCCAGAGAUGGAUUGGUGCCUUCGGGAACUGUGAGACAGGUGCUGCAUGGCUGUCGUCAGCUCGUGUUGUGAAAUGUUGGGUUAAGUCCCGCAACGAGCGCAACCCUUAUCCUUUGUUGCCAGCGGUUAGGCCGGGAACUCAAAGGAGACUGCCAGUGAUAAACUGGAGGAAGGUGGGGAUGACGUCAAGUCAUCAUGGACCUUACGACCAGGGCUACACA